rnacentral:rRNA from 1 species
AUACGGAGGGUCCAAGCGUUAUCCGGAUUCAUUGGGUUUAAAGGGUCCGCAGGCGGGAAAAUAAGUCAGUGGUGAAAGCCUACAGCUCAACUGUAGAACUGCCAUUGAUACUGUUUUUCUUGAGUAUAGAUGAAGUGGGCGGAAUAUAUCAUGUAGCGGUGAAAUGCAUAGAUAUGAUAUAGAACACCGAUUGCGAAGGCAGCUCACUAAACUAUUACUGACGCUCAGGGACGAAAGCGUGGGGAGCGAUCAGGAUUAGAUACCCUAGUAGUCC